UCCUGGAGGUGAAUUCGCUUCCAAGGGUUGGGCUGUCCGCCCAUUAAAGCGGUACGCGAGCUGGGUUCAGAACGUCGUGAGACAGUUCGGUCCCUAUCUGUUGUGGGCGUAGGAAAUUUGAAGAGCGCUGUCCCUAGUACGAGAGGACCGGGAUGGACAUAGCGCUGGUGUACCAGUUGUCCUGCCAAGGGCAUCGCUGGGUAGCUAACUAUGGAAUAGAUAAGCGCUGAAAGCAUCUAAGCGCGAAACUAACUCUAAGAUGAGAUUUCCCAUACGCAAGUAGUAAGACCCCUGAGAGACGAUCAGGUUGAUAGGUCAGAGAUGGAAGCAUAGCGAUAUGUGGAGUUGACUGAUACUAAUAGGUCGAGGUGUUUAAUCACA
rnacentral:rRNA from 1 species